rnacentral:rRNA from 1 species
GACGAACGCUGGCGGCGUGCCUAAUACAUGCAAGUAGAACGCUGAAGAGAGGGGCUUGCUCUUCUUGGAUGAGUUGCGAACGGGUGAGUAACGCGUAGGUAACCUGCCUUGUAGCGGGGGAUAACUAUUGGAAACGAUAGCUAAUACCGCAUAACAAUGGAUGACACAUGUCAUUUAUUUGAAAGGGGCAAUUGCUCCACUACAAGAUGGACCUGCGUUGUAUUAGCUAGUAGGUGAGGUAAUGGCUCACCUAGGCGACGAUACAUAGCCGACCUGAGAGGGUGAUCGGCCACACUGGGACUGAGACACGGCCCAGACUCCUACGGGAGGCAGCAGUAGGGAAUCUUCGGCAAUGGGGGCAACCCUGACCGAGCAACGCCGCGUGAGGGAAGAAGGGUUUCGGAUCGUAAAGCUCUGUUGUAAGUCAAGAACGGGUGUGAGAGUGGAAAGUUCACACUGUGACGGUAGCUUACCAGAAAGGGACGGCUAACUACGUG